GAUGAACGCUAGCGGCAGGCCUAAUACAUGCAAGUCGAGGGGCAGCACGGUAGCAAUACUGGUGGCGACCGGCGCACGGGUGCGUAACACGUAUGCAACCUGCCUUCAACUGGGAGAUAGCCCGGGGAAACUCGGAUUAAUACCCCAUAACACAGUGAAACAGCAUUGUUUUAUUGUUAAAGCUCCGGCGGUUGAAGAUGGGCAUGCGUUCGAUUAGCUAGUUGGUGUAGGUAAUGGCUCACCAAGGCUACGAUCGAUAGGGGGUCUGAGAGGAUGAUCCCCCACACUGGUACUGAGAUACGGACCAGACUCCUACGGGAGGCAGCAGUAGGGAAUAUUGGUCAAUGGACGCAAGUCUGAACCAGCCAUGCCGCGUGCAGGAAGACGGCCCUCU
rnacentral:rRNA from 1 species